UUCUAGAUUUUCUCAUUCACUUCGGGGUUUUCCAUUUCCAUCAACAGUUGUUACUCACUCUAUUAAGUGCACUUCUGAUGUAAGCAGCUUUGAUCAUGUGGUUGAAGGUAAUACUAACAUCUACUUAUCUUCUCUGUAUUACUUACUCGUAUAAGAAAGAAAUGUUUUGUGGGUUUUUCUUAUUUUUGUGAAAAAGGGGUUUUUGGGUUUCCAAGAUUCUGAUUUGAUAUAUUAAUUGCAUUUGGUUUUCUUGGAUUUUGGGUGAUUUGGGGUUUAUUCCCAUUUCAAUAUCUCUGUUUCACAAACAAACAAACAAUGGAAUGUGUCAAUCAAUGUGUUGAUGUUAUCUUGCUUUGAAUGUUAUUGUUCGUGCUCAUUAAUUCUUCAUGUUUAUGUUUGUUUGUUUGUUUUCCCAAGAUUCUGCUUGUGAUGAUGUCCUCAUCAUCAAUCUUUUCAAGAUUGUUGAGAUUAUUAAGGCGGAGAGAAAGAACAACAUUCAUAUUGAGGCAAAGAUUAACUGGUUUUACUUGUGUGGGCUUGUUCUUUUAUUCAUGUUUGUUCCUGCGCUAGCUGGUUUUAUAUUUUUAUUUUUAUUUUUGUAUCUUCUUCUUCUCAAGAUGAUGAUGGUAGUGUGAACAAGUUUACUACUGGUGUCUGGUAGUAGUAUGUUAACAAGAUGUUUAGUGUUUCCGGCCUGUUUGAAGUACUAUAUAUGUUAUAUGAAUGCUCUUUUAGAAUUUUGCCACAGUUAGAUAGAUUAUGGGUACCCUUUGAUUAUUGUUUUUCAUAGCAAUUUAGCUUGAAUGUCGUGAGCAUUUUUGUUUGAAAAUCAAGAAGCUCUCUAUAUAUGGCUUGUAAUCUUUUAUUGAAAUCUAUCAGAUUUCUCUCAUUUAAGUUGGUUUGAUGUAUAUAUGACUAAUAGAAGUUGAAC
rnacentral:lncRNA from 1 species